UACGUAGGGUGCAAGCGUUAAUCGGAAUUACUGGGCGUAAAGCGUGCGCAGGCGGUGAUGUAAGACGGGUGUGAAAUCCCCGGGCUUAACCUGGGAACUGCAUUUGUGACUGCAUCGCUGGAGUGCGGCAGAGGGGGAUGGAAUUCCGCGUGUAGCAGUGAAAUGUGUAGAUAUGCGGAGGAACACCGAUGGCGAAGGCAAUCCCCUGGGCCUGCACUGACGCUCAUGCACGAAAGCGUGGGGAGCAAACAGG
rnacentral:rRNA from 1 species